GUGCCCACUUCAGCAGCACAUAUACUGAAAUUGGGAUGAUACAGAGAAGAUUAGCAUGGCCCCUGUGCAAGGAUGACAUGCAAAUUCAUGAAGUGUUCCACUGAAAA
ensembl:snRNA U6 U6 spliceosomal RNA